UGAAUAAUUUUUAUUUGGUUGUUUGUGCAGGGAGCCAAGGGGGUUUGGAUUUGUGCAGUUUGUAGAUCCCGCUGAUGCUGCAGAAGCAAAAUACCAGAUGGAUGGUCAGGUUUUUCAAGGGAGAGAAUUGACGGUUGUUUUUGCUGAGGAAAAUCGAAAGAAACCAACUGAUAUGAGAAUGAGAGAGCGGAGCUCUUGAGGCUAGGGAAGAUCAAGGAUAGUCGAGAUGGAGUAACAAGGAGGUAACCUGAAGUCGACCUUCAUUAAUAGAGUGAAGAUGUAUAUGGUGGCGGGACCGCUCGCUGGCCACUUGGCUACCACUGAAUAAGCUUAGACCUCUUCGCAAAGGCAAAAAGAUGAUGAGUUUGAUCUUGAUCCUGAAAACAUAAUGCUCAUGGAAGCCAUCUGGUUGUCUUUUCAGGCACUUAAAAAGAGUAUAAUUUACACGUUUGUUGUUGUUUAAAGUCGUAAAUUUCUUAAAUUGCCACAUCUUGUUCAUUUUAAGAUUAUUAUUUAAGUGUGUUUAUGGUUGUAGGAGGAUAACAAGCACAGACAUGAUAACCGUAAUUACUGGUAUUACAUGCUACUAUUCUUCGGCAGCAGUCCAGUACUCUCUUUUAAGAGCGAUUGCCUUUUUUUACUAUGCACAUGCAUUUUGUCUAAUACUACCAUCAUGUUUAUAUUUCCAGGUCAUAAGAGGCUAAUAGCGUCACCUCCAGUUUGCGGUUUUCCCAUGGCCGGCCUAUUGGCACCACGAGGGUCAAGGUUUAUAUACUCCAUUGAUUACCUAUUGACUAUUUUUGUGGUAUAUUUUGGUUCUUCUGUUGGUCGAAGACCUGGUCCCCCUAUAAUCAUAUGGGUUUCGGUAUCAAGGUGUUGUUGAAGGCCCAAAUUUGGGUUUUCAUUUUAUCUGCAAAUUGGUCGCACACCAGGGUCCACAACGUCAAGAUAGGCCCUGGUUUAUGGUGUCACUUGAAGGCCCAAUAUUAAGUAAUGAAGUUCAUUGUGAAGGUCUAUACGAGGGUUAUAAAACUCAUUUUUGAAGGCCCAUGUAUGGGUAAAGCUGCUGUUUGAAGGCCCAGGCUCGGUUGGAUCGGGUCAGCCUGUUGAAUCGGGUCUUGAUUCGCUGAGUCACUCGGCUGGUGUUCAGUAUUUGCAUUCAGUUUUAUAAGUUUAGUGUUCACCUUUGUUUCUUGGUUUAUUUAUAAGAAAUAUUUGUUGCAGGAAAAUAUAGAGCUCCUCAGAGAUGGUUAUGAAAGCAAUGUCAUUGGGGAACCCAACCCUGAUGCUCUUGUAACUAAAUUUCUAAGUGCUGGAGUUUCUUGUAUAAUUACUAUAGU